CUCCCGUUGAUCCUGCCGGACCUGACUGCUAUCGGAUUGGUACUAAGCCAUGUGAGUCAUUGUAGCAAUACAAGGCAUACGGCUCAGUAACACGUAGUCAAUCUAACCUAUGGACGUGGAUAACCUCGGGAAACUGAGAAUAAUCCGCGAUAGAUCAUAAUUCCUGGAACGGUUUAUGGUCCAAAUGAUUCGUCGCCAUAGGAUGGGACUGCGGCCUAUCAGCUUGUUGGUGAGGUAAUGGCUCACCAAGGCUAUUACAGGUACGGGCUCUGAGAGGAGAAGCCCGGAGAUGGGUACUGAGACACGGACCCAGGCCCUAUGGGGCGCAGCAGGCGAGAAACCUUUGCAAUGUGCGCAAGCACGACAAGGUUAAUCCGAGUGUUUCCUGCUAAAGGAAUCUUUUGUUAGUUCUAAAACCACUGAUGAAUAAGAGGUGGGCAAGUUCUGGUGCCAGCAGCCGCGGUAAU
rnacentral:rRNA from 2 species